UCUGUAGUGAGAAAUUCCGAGCAAUUGAUUGGUUCAGGAGCGGGGCAGAGGCUUCAGGUGUUUGCUUCUAUGCUCACGUGAACGCAAAGGCGAGCAGCCAACUCCAAGUAGUAGUACUCAUCGUCACGGCCAGUGGCUUUUCCCAACUUUCCGGAAUUCCUUCUGCAGCUCCCCAAUCCAAUUUUGGCGAAGUACAUUAGGAAGCAGAGCUAUUUAUCGACAAUUGCUUGGCUCCUUUGCCAUAUAGUGGUGCAUGCACAAGUGGACAAUAUUUUCCUGUUUGAUACUAAAUAAACUCAUGCACAACUAGUGAUAUUUUCUGCUCCAUUUUAUAAAUUGCCCAAUCAACACUUAGAUGCUUUAAAUUUUUGGAAAUCGUUCAUUAUUAUUUUCAUAGGGCUGCUGUGCCUGCUAGUGCUCGGGAUAGUAGGUUGCAUCGAUAUACUUGUUUGUUGAUUUCGGUAUACGGGAUUCACAGGAAUUGUUCAUCUCUUCCAUAAGUGCUGGUAUGCAGUAGUGGGCGACAAGACUGAAUUUGGCUUGGAGGCUACCCAACCAACCACUGCCGAUGUUUGUAAACCUUGCUCUAGCCACACUCAUUUACGCCGCCUUGGUGUGCUUCGCCAAGAUUGACAUCAAGGACAAGAAAAGGGCUUGAAAAACUUCCAAGAGGAUAAGAAGCAAACUGGUGGUGAAUCUAGGGACCUUGACCAAAACGACCAAAACAAUGUCCAGUUGUGCUGAUCGAUUGGGACCAGGUGACGGUUGUGUUCGAUAGGGACACCGUCAGGUGUGUUGAUAGACAAUUUGAGCUGGUCAAUUGGGACAAGAGCCGGUUAGGUGUAAGAGAAGUGAAGCGUGAAUCCAGUCUUUCUUUUGAUAACACCAACUCUGAAGUGAACUCUGUCAAGAGGAAAAGGCUGAACCAGGUGCUUGAAGUGAGGUGGAGCAUCCUGAUAAGCAGGUUGGUGUUGUUCCUGAAUAUGAAGAAUUUUGAUAUGACAAGAACGAGGCAAAAGCAUCAACAUCUACAAAGAGGGUACUGACAUCAUCAACGUUAGGUCCCUAGUAAUCUUAAAUUUGAAAAACUACAGCAGUGGAAGGCAUCCAUGGGGUGAUCUUAAACCAGAUUAUCUUGAAAAGGUUGGUACUUCAACUUGCUCAUGCACAUUGCCAUAUAUCUUAGUUUUAGUUUUCUAGUCCAGCAUACGUGGAGUUGACUUCAAAGUUCUUAAAUGGGUUAUGUUCACAACAAUCGACCAUUAUCUAGAAGUGUGUUGCAUCACCGCUGCCUAUCACUUCAGAACAAGUGGUAGCUGCAAUCUAGAGUUCAAUUGUGCCUGUGAGUAUUUAUUUUUAGCUGGGGCCCAAAAAUUCACCAUUUCUUCCGUAUCUUGGUUAAUCAGUAUGCAAUGAACAACGUAUGCCUAUGGUUAGCAAGAGCAACUGAACAUUACUGUUGCUCGGAGCUCCAAUGGUUCAUUAGUUUCACCCACCACCGUUGAUGUUUAGAAAAGGUUAUCUCUGCCAAAGCAUGAGCAUUGAAUUUCUGAUCCAUGGGCAUGGUUGUUUCCUGUGUGGUUUUGGUGAGGUCAGUACAUGAUGCUUCCACUGUAAAGUUGUUUCAUUAUUGCGAAAUAUAGUACUAGCUCUUUUUGCCUCUGAUGUAGGCUUGCUGGAGGUGUUUUCUUUGCUACCUGCGCUAAGCAAUAAUGAUUGUAGUUUGUGAUAUGCUUGUGUUCGA